GACGUAGGAGGCGAGCGUUGUCCGGAUUCAUUGGGCGUAAAGAGCACGCAGGCGGUUUGGCAAGUCGGAUGUGAAAACCCGAAGCUCAACUUCGGGCCUGCAUCCGAAACUGCCCGACUAGAGGUAGGUAGGGGAGAUCGGAAUUCCUGGUGUAGCGGUGAAAUGCGCAGAUAUCAGGAGGAACACCUAUUGCGAAGGCAGCUCGCUGGGACGUAAACUGACGCUGGAGACGCGGAAAGCGUGGGGAGCAAACAGG
rnacentral:rRNA from 1 species